AGGCAGCCACAAAGCAAAGGAACUGAAUAAAGCCCAUUAAGAAAGACCAAAAAGCAUCCAAUGUGUAGAGAGAGGGGAAAAAACUAAUUACGCAAAUAACAAAAGAAUUGAAAGAGAAUGAUUACAGAAAAAGAGACUUCUGAAUUUAAGUUAGCCUUAUGGAUCCAUCGGUAUUUAACAUGCUCAUCAAUACUAUCUGGGCACAUCAGAAGUGUUUACCAGGGAAUCUUAUAUUUCCAGGUGGAGGUGGAGCACCCAGAAAAGAAUCCAUAGCAUCACUGUGAAAAUCUGCAGAGACAGCACCCAAGGUCGGAAUUGAACCUGGAUCUCAAUUUGAUCUGCCUAUUGUGGUAGUAUAGAUUAAACUUCCUAAGAAAUAAAGCUAUCCUUACAUUUCUGUUUUAAAAGGGAUUGGAGAUAUCAAAUCUUCAUAAAUGAAUCGCAUUAUCUAUAAUUAUUAUAUACAGUGGAUUCUGGUUAAUUGGAUCUUUCAUUAAUCAGGACAGCCACUUAUUUGGGACAUUUCUUAAAGUACAAAAACUAAUCAGAAAAUAGCUGGGAUUCCCUUCAUUUAUUUAUGAUAUUAUGCCGCUUAAUUGGGGAAGGAAAAUGUUGUUUGAACAGUUUCCAACUAGCAUCAGACAUGUGCACUUGUGUGGCCAUUAGUUACUACAACUGUGUGUAGAGUGAACAGUUUUUUAAAUAGCAUCAUUUGUGUGCACUUCUGUUCAAAAGGCAUUGAUUGUUGUCAUUGAUAGUUGGUGAGAAAUAAGUGAUAAGACAAUUCAGAACAGUUUUGCUCACUGCAGUUUCUAGCAUUCAGGCUUGGAAAUGCCAGAAACAGCUGGGAGUGAAAAUAAAAUGAUUGCACUACUUCAACAAGUUGGAAACUGCAAAGAAUUUGAUGGUAUCACUGAUCAUCUUGAUGGUUACAAU